GAGGGUGUAGCUCAGCGAUAGAGGGCGUGCUCAGCAUGCACGAGGUCCUGGGUUCAAUCCCCAGUCCCUCCA
rnacentral:tRNA from 1 species